ensembl:lncRNA
AUAUAUAAGAAUGAUGAGGACAAUUGGUUAAGAUGCCUGCUUCUUUCCCCCUUUUUUUUUUUUUUUUUCCUUUUUAAGGCUGUACCAGGGGCCUGUGGAGGUUCCCAGGCUAGGGGUCAAAUCCAAGCUGCAGCUGCCAGCCUACACCACAGCCACAGCAAUGCCAGAACCUUAACCCACCAAGCAAGGCCAGAGAUUGAAUCCUCGUCCUCACAGAUCCUAGUCAGGUUCAUUAACUGGUGAACCACAAAGGGAACUACCGGUUUCCUUUUUUAUGGUUUGCCAUAAUUUAUGGUUAUUAGACUCAAACAUGGUUAUUGAAGUAAUUUGGGGAUAUUUAACGACAUUGCAUUUGAGCUGAGGAUAGAAAAGAGAAUAGGGUAAGAUCAGGAAUGAAGUCGGCUGAGAAUCAUGAACUCAUACAGAGAUCCAGGUAUUAGAAUCUGAGACUGAACCAAACCUCAAAUUUUCCUGUUUCCUUACGAGAGAAAAAUCACAACAUUUAUUUAAAGUGCAUAUAUAUGUAUGUAUGCACAUAUAUAUGUAUACCCAGACACACACACAUAUUUAUUCCUAUAUAAACUGUAAAGCUCUGAAAACCAUGUUUCAAGUUUAUGGAUCAACUCCAUGUAAUCUUUAUUAUGAGAGCCUUGACUUUUUUUUUCCCCCUUUUUAGCUGCACUUGGGGCAUAUGGAAGUUACUGGGCCAGGGGUGGAAUCCAAGCUGCAGGCCCAUGCCACACCCAAUGGGAUACGAGCUGCAUCUGUGACCUAUGCUGCAGCUUGUAGCACCUGAUUUUUUUUUUUUUUUUAAUCUUUUUUUUAGGUUCGCAUCCUCAGCACAUGGAGGUUCCCAGGCUAGGGGUCCAAACGGAGAUGAAGCUGUCGGCCUGUGUCACAGCCACAGCAACGCAGGAUCUGAUCUGCAUCUGCAACCUACACAAUGCUGGAUCUUUGACCCACUGAGCGAGGCCAGGGAUCAAACCCACAUCCUCGCAGAGACAAUGUUGCGUCCUUAACCCACUGAACCACAAUAGGAACUCCUUGACUUUCUUCUUGAUAUACAGAUUGGAAUCUCCACUGUCAAACUAAGAAACAAUAGAAGGAAUAAGAAACAAUUGAAGAGAUACGUUGACGAGACCCUCCUGGUCCGAGGUAAACAUUCGCUGGCAUUCAGUCUUGGUGCCUAGCACAGGGCCUUGACAAAGAGAAGAUACACACACGAUAUAAAAAGAGAGCGAGGUCCAGGACACUCUUCUUAAAAAGAUAACUGAUGAAGGUUGCCUGAGGGUGAGACAACCUUUGGAUGGAGUCCUCUCAGACCAUCAAAAGACAACACAGAAAAGACCCAUAAAAGAAUUAUAAAACUCUCUAAUUCAGGGGGGAAGGGAGAAGUAGAAAGCAGGUUAAGUGGCCUGACACAGGGAGGGCAAAUUACACUGAAAUACAAGGGGCUAAAGAAGAAUUAAGAAAAAGAAAAUAGGAAAUCGAAUAAUAAGGAAGAAAGGCAGAGACGAAGGCUGGGAGGGGGAAUGAGAAAGAGGAGGAGAGGAAGUAAGGGAGACCAAGUGAGCAGGGCCCUGUGAGGCUCCUGGGCACAAAAGCUGCGUCCCCCAUUUCUUGUCUUGUUUUUAGGAAAUGGGCCUCAUUGAGUCUCCAUGGCCUUCCCUGAGUUCCAAGGGGCAGGUUCAGACAGUCGCCAGUCAGGGAAGGGAGGGGAUGCAGAGACCAGAGAGGAGCCAUCAAGCAACAAUAGUAUAGCCUUGGGCCAGGAUCCUGGUUCCCUCUCAAGGGAUACACAUAAUGACGUAAGCACCUUAUACACCUAAGAACAAAGUUACAGUCCUUAGCUUCUUUUAGAAAUGAAUACUUGAAAGUUCAACACGGAGGUCCCGUUGUGGCCCAGCAGAAAUGAAUCUGACUAGGAACCCUGAGGUUGUGGGUUCCAUCCCUGGCCUCGCUGAGUGGGUUUAAGAUCCGACGUUGCCGUGAGCUGUGGUGUAGGUUGCAAACUUGGCUCGUAUCUGGUGUGGCUGUGGCUGUGGCAUAGGCCAGUGGCUACAGCUCCGAUUAGACCCGUAGGCUGAGAACCUCCGUAUGCCGCAGGUGCGGCCCUAAAAGGACAAAAGAUAAAAAAUAAAUUUCAACAGCUUGCAGCCCUUCCUUGUAUUGUACCUGGUUUGACUGCACCCUAAACACAAUCACCUGUAAAACUGAAGAUGAGGCACUCUGAGCACAACUGCCUGUGGGUUAAAGAUUAUUAGCACGUGAUGCUUUUCAGAAACUUUCCCAGUUUGUUCUAAUACCCUUUUCCCAAGUACUGUUAUUCUAGGCAAUAACCCAGAAGACCACUAGCACGAUAAUGCCGAGAUCUCCUGACACCAGCCUUGGUGACUAAGCUUUUAUUCCCCCCAAGUAAAGAAGAAUGCAUGUUUUCCCCAACCCGAUUCUUAUCCGAAAACUUUUUUUCUCCUUUUAGACUAUUAACCCUCCUGUACUUCUUCCCCCAAGGAAGAUAAACUCAUUAAGGCAUGACCCUGCUGUGGCCUCCUUCGCCUGGCAAAGCAAUAAAAACUUUUCAUCCAUCACCCCAAACUCUGUUUUUGAGUUUCUAUUCAGCACCAAUGGACAGAAGCUGAGUUUCGGCAGAGAAGGAAGGGAGGGAGGAAGGGAAGAAGGAAGGAAGGAAAAGGAAAGAAAGAGUCAAACUUAUUUAUUCUAGUUUCACUUUCUCCCCACAUGAUUAGUAAAUCAACUAGAGAUUCUGUUUGCACCUUUCAGCAGGAGAGGAGGGGAGAAAAUGGCUGUUUCUAUACACUUGACUUAACCACGCCUGCCAUUUAACUGGCAGCCUCUGCACACUCCCCUGACAGCACCUGGAGAGGGUGCCUGUAGAACACCAAAAGGGUGGUGGGAAAAUAUGACAUGUGACACCAGGGCAAGAUCUGAUCCUCAACAAAUGAAAUCUGUCAGCCAUCUCCUCAAAGGCUGCCACCUCUCAUAUCCCUGCUUGGCUGAGCUAGCUUUUUACAGAGACUUAUUGUAUUAUUCAGCUGGUUUGAUUUCCCUUUUAUGACAACCCUCCCCUGGAGACCAUCCAUCUCUUUACAAUCUUGGAGAAUUACAAUGUAAUUUAUAACUCUCUACUGUAAACACAAAUGGGGGUUGUAUCUUAGCACUGGAAAGAAUGCUAAUGGCCAGUCUUGGGUCACUCCUAUUUUGGAUGAAAUUAGUACCAAGAUGCUUAAGGAAUUUAGAUGGGCAAAUUGAAUGGCAGUGAAAGGAAGAAAACAAAGAAAAAUGAAAAAGACAAGCAAACGGCAAUCCCCAGAAUGAAAAAAAUGGGGAUUCAGUGUGUUUUCUAUGGUCAUGAGUUUGUUUUGCAUUCAUCAACUUCACAGGGAGCUAGGAGGAACAUGUAAAAUAAUCGAUAAUUCAGAGUUAUUAACAAAGUUGAAGAAAACAGCAUCCAAAACUGUACCAUUUUAAAGAUACGAGAAACCUUAAGAAUUUACCUAACCCCUUUGGAAGACUCACUUUAGGAUUUUAAUUCUCCCCAAAUUUAUCUAUAGAUUCACGACUGUUCCAAAAAUAAAAAAUAAUAAUAGCAGGCUUUUUGUUUGCAGAUGGUGACAAGAUGAUUCUCAACUCCUAUGAGAAUGCAAACACUCUAAGAAUCGCCAAAAUGGUCUUCAAGAACAAGGUCAAGGGGUUUCCUUCCAGUACCUGAUUUUAAGAUCUUCACAAGCAGCACCGUCAUUCAGAAAGAAUGGGCGGCCAGAAGCUCCGAGCUGUGCUCAGGCCUGCUCUCCGGUUUUCCCGCUACUCCCUCCCGGAGUAAAUCCAAGCAAAGUGGACUCCGGUACCCAGUGCGCUCGCCUCCCCUGCACGCCCGGAAGUUGGAUCCACCUGCCCAUGCGCAGACUCCUUCACCACCCCCUCCCAUCUCCACAAAAAAGAAAAAAAAGAAAAAAGUACUGCCCUUGCUUAGGAACACACAACUAGGGGCAUUUGCAACAAAGUCACCAAAUAAGUGGAAAGCCAAGUCUUUUCAAUGAAUGACACUGAACUGCUGUCAAAUAUAUAACUAAAUUCUGGAGUUCAGGGUCAUAAAAUAUGCGUAACUUUAUAAGAGACUGGUAAAGAGUCUGACCAACUGCUAAUAACAGGAGAAUUCCUCAAGCCUCCCCCCAUUAUUUCCAAUAUUUGGUAUUGCCUCCCUAGUUCCUUCGGCCUUUGCAGCGGCAGGUGCCACCACGUUGUGAUUUCCAUAAGCUUUUCCUGAUGAGGCUGAUCACCUUCCCUGGGCUCAUCAGCCCUUUGGAUCUCCACUUGUGUGCAAUGCCUUCAAGUAUUAGGCGCCACUUUUCUAUUAGGUCAUUCAUCUUUUCCUUGGAGAUUGUCAGGGUUAGUUUAUACAUUCUGAAUAUAAAAUACGUACCGUGACAAACUGUCCUCAUCCAGAGGAGGCCAGGGUUAGCAUGAGAAAGGCCAUAAUGACUGAUAAUGGUCCUCAGAGGGGGGGAGGGGGGGAAGACAAGGAUUAAGCAAAACAAAGCUGAUGGUCUUUGUUCCUGGAAGUACCUGCUUACAGUUUUGCUGCCAGGACUGCUCUAGAUCUUUGCUUAAAACCAGCCGACCCCCACAUUUAGCAGGAGUGUCUUUGCUCGAAACCCCAACAACCAUGAUCUUUCCUAGGAGUUAAUAAAUCUUUAAGUUAAAGGGUCUAAAGAAAGGAAGCUACAAACAAAAAACCCAGAUGGAACCAGCUGGGACCAAUAUGGUAACAAAUCAGACCUCCAACAGACCCUGAGUCUCAUUAUAUGUUGAUUUCACUUUAGUACCGUAUUAAAUGACAUACUUGAAGUUCCCACUCUGACACAGUAGGUUAAGAGUACAACCGUAGCAGCUCUGCAGAAAAGGUAUGUGUUUGAUCCCGUCCUGGCAUAGGGGGUUAAAUGAUGCAGCAUUGCUAUAGCUGUGGUGUAGAUCGCAGAUGCAGCUAAGAGUCAAUCCCUGGCCUGGAAAUUCCAUCCAAGUGCUGAGGGUGUAGCCAUUAAAAUACACUCACACACACACACACUUACCAGCAGCUGUGACCAGACAUUAAGAACCAAAAAUAAAGGACAGAAGAAAGAAAAGUAUAGAAGGUGAAUGCGGAGUUCCCGUGGUGGCUCAGUGGUUGUCGAACCUGACUAGCAUCCAUGAGGAUGAGGGUUCGAUCCCUGGCCUCGAUCAGUGGGUUAAGGAUCUGACGUUGCCAUGAGCUGUGGUAUAGGUGGCAAACCUGGCUCAGAUCUGGUAUGGCUAUGGCUGUGGCAUAGGCCAGUGGGGGCAGCUCCGAUUUGACCCCUACCCUGGGAAUCUCCCUGUGCUGUGGGUGAAGCCCUAAAAGACAAAAAAAUAAAAUAAAAUAAAAAA